rnacentral:lncRNA from 1 species
AAGUAAAGAAUGGAUUAAAGAUGAGGACUAGAGAUACAAAGAAGGAGUGAAGAGUAGGGCAAUGAGACUAAUCUAAGAUAAGUCCUUCUCAUCUUUUUUAACAAAUAAUUAGGAUUAUAUUGGAAAUAACUUCAGCACAUAAAGGCGGUUAUCAUUGUAACAAUGAUGGAAAUUAAGUAAUUAUGAUUAUAGAUGAAUGUAUUUAAUUUUUAUUAAUUAUAAAUUUAAUAGUAAAAAAAUAAAUUUAGAAGUAAUUAUUUUUUUAUAAUUGUCAUAAUAGGUGGAUUACUUUAAUAAAAAUUUAGGUUGUUUUAUCAUAUAUAUAUAUAUAUAUAUA